CGAUAAGUAAUGUGAAUUGCAGAAUUCAGUGAAUCAUCGAAUCUUUGAACGCACAUUGCGCCCGCCAGUAUUCUGGCGGGCAUGCCUGUCCGAGCGUCAUUUCAACCAUCAAGCCCCCGGGCUUGUGUUGGGGACCUGCGGCUGCCCGCAGGCCCUGAAAACCAGUGGCGGGCUCGCUGUCACACCGAGCGUAGUAGCAAUCACCUCGCUCAGGGCGUGCUGCGGGUUCCGGCCGUUAAACAGCCUUACAAAACCCAAGGUUGACCUCGGAUCAGGUAGGAAGACCCGCUGAACUUAAGC
rnacentral:misc_RNA from 1 species